rnacentral:rRNA from 1 species
CAUAAACCGGAGGAAGGUGGGGAUGACGUCAAGUCAGCAUGGCCUUUAUAUCCUGGGCUACACACACGCUACAAUGGCCAACACAAUAGGUUGCUAAGCCGCGAGGUGGCGCCAAUCCAUAAAGUUGGUCUCAGUUCAGAUUGUAGGCUGCAACCCGCCUGCAUGAAGAUGGAGUUGCUAGUAACCGCAGGUCAGCUAUACUGCGGUGAAUACGUUCCCGGGGCCGUU